UACGGAGGGUGCGAGCGUUGUCCGGAAUCAUUGGGCGUAAAGGGCGCGUAGGUGGCUUCUCAAGCGUGCGGUGAAAGCCUGGGGCUCAACCCCGGGUCGGCCGUGCGAACUGGGGGGGCUGGAGCACUGUAGAGGCAGGCGGAAUUCCGGGUGUAGCGGUGGAAUGCGUAGAGAUCCGGAAGAACACCGGUGGCGAAGGCGGCCUGCUGGGCAGUUGCUGACACUGAGGCGCGACAGCGUGGGGGAGCAAACAGG
rnacentral:rRNA from 1 species